GCAAAAACAAAUGUAAGCUUUUUAGUUUGAUUUAAUUGUUAUUUACAAUUAAUGUUAACUUAAAAAAUUUGAGUUGCUUAAUUAAAUUUUUUAGGUAAUCGGUGUCCACAAAAAUUUAGUAUUCUGAACUUAUCGGGUUUUACAGUGUAUUACAAUAAUGAUCAGACAGAGCUGAAGCGACAAAUCAGGACGUACCAACUUCAUAUUCAUGGUAAAGACUAAACUUAUCAAACAUCUGCUUUCUGGAUUUGCUUUAGUGAACAUGUCUUAUUGCAUGUAACCAGCAGAGACUCUGAUCGAGACAAGCCUAAUAUUCAGAUCAGUGUGUUUAUGGCCUUGAUUAAAUUGCUUCAUUAUAAUAAUGAUUGUCUGUGUUUCUCCUCAGAUGAGAUUUCUGUGAACGUCGGUGAGCAGCUGGAGUUAGAUGUUCUGUUGUCAGAAGCUGAUAAAGUGCAGCAUCAGAGCAACAUCAGGACCGAGUGGAAGGAGGUUUGGACGAGAAAAGAUGGGUUCUGGAGCGAUCGACUGACUGACAGUGAUGCAAACCUGACUGUUUUACAGUUUAUGACCAGAGAUGCAGGAACAUACAGAGUUCUGGAUUCAGAAGAAAAAACAUUGAUCACAGUCACAGUCACAGAAUCAGGUACAGAAUCAAUAGGAAAACUGGACGAAACUGAAGACACUAAACGAGUUCGUAAGUAAAACAGGAGCUUUACAAAAUCUUCAAGCAGUGAGUUUAAAAAAACAUUCUGUUUGUCCACUUUUGCAGCUGUAAUGUAUUGGAUCAUGAGUGCUGCACUGCUUGUAUAUGCGGUUCUGCUGGUUCUGACUCUGGUUACGCUUGCUAUCAAGAAACAGAGCAGUUUCUGAAAGCAGAACGUGUCUCUCACAGAUGAAACAUCACUGGUUACUUGUCAUGUGCCUUCAGAUUUGCAGAGUACUCUGACAGCAUAUGUCUGCAAUAUAUAUGUGAUUUAAUAUACAUAUGAACAUUUGGACUCACUUUAGCAUGAGGAUGGUGACUGUAUCUGCAUUUAGGGUCUGGUUUUGGGUGAGUAAACGUGUGCUAUAAAGGGAGCACUCUUUGCUCACUUUCUCUAUACAAUCCAUUCACAAUUUAAAGAACAGUUGUGUUUAUGUAGAGGAACAAUGUCCAUGUAUACUGUGAAGCUGCAUUAAUUACGGGAGAGAAUCUGUUUAAUUGCUGCACGAGUAACUCCUGAGAUUGCUGUGAUUGACCCGAGGUGUUUCUAGCAUUUGAAGACAUCAGGGGCUAAUGGUGAGGGCAAAUGCUCAUAUAUUUAGAGUACGACAGGCUAAAGGCACAUCUUAAGAAAAAUUUGCUUUUCUCUACCAACAUAGUGUACAUUUUUAUUGAACAUUGAUCUGUUUUAUGAAAAGUUAAUUUCGAUGCAUCUCUGUUAUCAGGAAAUACAGAGCUACACAGAUGCAAACUCUUUCAUGCACUGGUGUUGUAUUGCAGAAAUGCAGCUUAUUUUAUCUAUUGUUUUCUUAUGGCACUACAUUGAUGAGCAGGAACAGCUGAAUGUAGCACUUUAUUUUUGAAAUUCUUUCUAUUGUAGAUUUUUAUCACUUGUUUAAUAUGUAGUGAAGUCCGGGGUUUUGAAAUGAGCGUUUUGUUGUACAAUACUGUGUGAUGCUGCUGAAAUAAAACGCAGAAGUGUUGUUUAACAUGUUUAAAUGUGAUAUACUUAGAACGGCACGAUGAACUGUCUUCAUCAUCAUCAUCAUCCUCAUCAUCGAGAGUUUCUCCUUUCCAGUGUUGCUUUUGACUGCUUCAUCAGGGAACAUUAUUCUUCGUGAAUCUGCUUCAAACAGCAUGUACUGUGAAGAACUAAACAAACUGAAGCACUUUUGUAAGAAACACUUUUGUUGAUAUUGAUUUGUUGGUAUGUAUUUUUGUAUGUGUUAGAUUUGCAUGUGGGACCACAUGUCUAGCUGUAUCUUUACACAUUUUAUUGAUAAGCAUUAUUAUUUACAUGUAAGCUGAGUUUAAGCAGUAUUAUGGCACAUAAAGUUUGAUUUACAUAAAAUGUUUUGAAUGUUAAAUGUGUUGUUGAGAGUUCUGAUUAAAUAAACUGCAGGAAAAAAAAGGAAAAGAAAUCAGAGGUGUUGUGCAUUUUUUGGUAGAAAAUCUGAUCAUUAACAAUGCUAGACCUUAAACCAUAACUGCAACUAUGUCAACUAUAUCACACUUUCAGAAAAAACUGAACUGUUUCUUAAUAAAAACAGGAUUAAUGGUGGGAACAUGACAUGCUUUGUAUUUGAGUUAAAUAACUCCAGAAGCAGUGCAACAUUGAACAUUCAAGCUGUCGCCUAAAAGAGAAAGCGCUCACCUAAUAUUUAGAUCAUCUCUCAAAAUAAUAAAACACAGAUAGAUAUGUGAACAACAUGCAAGUUUUGGCCAUUAGCACUCCAUAUAAAUCACCAGCAGCAAUAUUUCAAUCACUAAAAACAGCGGGACAUUCUAAAACGUUUAAUGUGAAAACACUUAAAGUGCCUUUAAAACAGUGAUAUUAAAAGAUGAAAUUCAGUACACACCUUAUUAAUGAUGCGUGCUUUAUACAGACAAGCAGAUGAGCCCGGAAUAUGAACGCAAUGCGCUGAAUGGUCAAGCGUCUUCUUUAUAAUGGUUUUCUAUGGGAAAAUAUUUAAUAUUAAACUUUAUGCAUUGCGUUUAUAUUCUGGGUUCAUCUGCUUGCCUGUACAAAGUCUGCAUCAUUAAUAAGGUAGAUACUCAAAUUGUACUUUAAAUUUAGUCUUACUACAUUACUAUACUUG
ensembl:lncRNA